GCGCACGUGGUGAAAUGGCAGACACGGUAGGUUUAGGUCCUACUGCCGCAAGGCGUGGGGGUUCAAGUCCCUCCGUGCGCA
rnacentral:tRNA from 1 species